rnacentral:rRNA from 1 species
UACGGGGGGGGCAAGCGUUGUUCGGAAUUACUGGGCGUAAAGGGUUCGUAGGUGGCUUGCUAAGUCAGACGUGAAAUCCCUCAGCUUAACUGGGGAACUGCGUCUGAUACUGGCGAGCUUGAGUGCAGGAGAGGAACGCGGAAUUCCAGGUGUAGCGGUGAAAUGCGUAGAUAUCUGGAGGAACACCAGUGGCGAAAGCGCGUGACUGGGCCACAACUGACGCUGAGGAACGAAAGCCAGGGGAGCGAAAGGG